rnacentral:rRNA from 1 species
UACGUAGGGUGCGAGCGUUAAUCGGAAUUACUGGGCGUAAAGGGUGCGCAGGCGGCCCCGCAAGUCAGACGUGAAAUCCCCGAGCUCAACUUGGGAAUGGCGUUUGAAACUACAGGGCUGGAGUGUGGCAGAGGGAGGUGGAAUUCCACGUGUAGCGGUGAAAUGCGUAGAGAUGUGGAGGAACACCAAUGGCGAAGGCAGCCUCCUGGGCCAACACUGACGCUCAUGCACGAAAGCGUGGGGAGCAAACAGG